GACAGAGGCCUCAAGCGUUAGGCGGAAUCACUGGGCUUAAAGCGUGUGUAGGCGGAUCGUUAAGUACCUUGUGAAAUCCCACGGCUCACCCGUGGAACUGCUGGGUAUACUGGCGAUCUUGGGCCAACUAGGGGCAGCUGGAACAAGCGGUGGAGCGGUGAAAUGCGUAGAUAUCGCGUGGAACGCCAAAGGUGAAAACAGGCUGCUGGGGUUGUGCCGACGCUGAGACACGAAAGCCAGGGGAGCAAACGGG
rnacentral:rRNA from 1 species